UACAGAGGUCUCAAGCGUUGUUCGGAUUCAUUGGGCGUAAAGGGUGCGUAGGCGGCGCGGUAAGUCGGGUGUGAAAUCUCGGAGCUUAACUCCGAAACUGCAUUCGAUACUGGCGUGCUUGAGGACUGGAGAGGAGACUGGAAUUCAUGGUGUAGCAGUGAAAUGCGUAGAGAUCAUGAGGAAGACCAGUGGCGAAGGCGGGUCUCUGGACAGUUCCUGACAUUGAGACACGAAGGCCAGGGGAGCAAACGGG
rnacentral:rRNA from 1 species